rnacentral:lncRNA from 1 species
UCUUCUUUUUCCUUUUCAGCUUCCUUUUCAAUUUUCCCUAAUUGAGCAAUGUCAUAUUCUAUAUCUGCAGUUACGUUUGGUAUAUGUACACAGCAGUGAUCGAUUCUAUCUUUGAGAUAUCCACAAACACCAUGUUCCUUUAACAGCAAUGUGUCUAAUGCCAUUCUGUUCUGCAGAGUCAUUUUGGUUGUCGCCUGUAAUUGCAAAUUUAGAUCCAUAAAGCCUUUUUUAGUCACCUUGGCCAAUCUCUCAGUUUGUCCAAUUAAAUUAUAAAUCACUUCCCUAUUGCGAUAUGCAGCUAUUUGAGCAAAAAGGGAUUUGAGUGCCCAUCCUGCUUUCACUCCUGUCUCAGGCUCUUGCCAAGUGUCAUCUAUAUUGUCAAUGUCAUCAUCAACACUUCUUUUGGUUCAAAUCUGCAAAGUUUCUAGUUUGCCCCUGAAUGGGGAACGCUUCCAAAUUGGACACAAAGUGGGGAGUCCCAAGGUAAUUUCCCGCACUGGCCCUGUUAUUGGAAGGUGGGUGGUCCAGGUACCAUCACUGAGUGCCCAAACAAGAUGUCCCAUGCUAUGUAUCAUCAAAUAUCUGCAGUUUAUUCCAUCAGCCGGGGCUUGUAUCGUUUUUCCUCCAACUUUAAAUCCUCGGCAUGCACAUCCUGCUUUUAAAGCAAUUCUAAUUGGGGGCAUUGCAAUGUUUUCUGGAUCAGUAUCGCAAUCUAUUAUCCUGGUGCAAUUCCACCAAGGAACAUUUUUAACAGUAUCUAGACUGACUCUGUUUAAUGACAACAGGUUCAUAUUUCCUGCUAUAUUAUAUUUCCCUGUCCACCUGAGACACCAAGAUGUGUUUAAUUGUUUGAUUCAUCUUUUCCACCUGUCCACUGGACUGUGGCCUCCAUGGGGUAUGAAGAUUCCAGGAUAUUCCUAACAGUUCACUGACUUCCUGAACUAUAGUUGCUGUAAAAUGCGGUCCUCUAUCUGAUGAUAUACCCAACGGGACUCCGAAUCUAGGGAUGAUCUCUUUCAACAACCAUUUCACUGUUUCCUUAGCGUGAUUGGUGCGACAGGGAGAGGCUUCUGGCCAUCCAGAAAAAGUGUCAACCCCUACUAACAAGUAUCGGUAUCCCUGUGUCUUGGGUAAUUCCACAAAAUCAAUUUGCCAAUAGUCACCCGGCUCCAUACCUACUCUGAUAUGUCCCAUUUCUACUUUCCUCUUGACUACUGGAUUGUUUUUUUAAACAAAUUUCACAUUUAGAUCCUAUGGAUUUUGCCAUUGUUAACAUCCGUGUAGAGAUCAUUCCUCGUUUUAAAUAUGUUACCAAUGCCUCUGCCCCCCCAAUGACAUUUUUGAUGUUCGGUUUGUAAAAUUGUCCGCAUGAUGGCAGGUGGUACCACCACUUGUCCAGUAGUGGUUACGUACCAUCCUUCCGAGUUCAAUCGAGCCUUUACUAAUUCAGCCAAUUUAACAUCUUCUUCUGAAUAUCCUGGUUUUUUGUUCAUAUAAUUCUGUAAUGGGCUCACCUUUGUUGGUACCAGGGCCAUAACAGUCUGUACCUGUCGUGCAAUUCGUCUAGCCAUCCGAUCCGCAAAUGUAUUUCCUUCGGCUAUCUUAGAAUUUCCUCCUUGAUGCGCUUUACAGUGCAUGAUAGCCACCUGUUCUGGUAAUUGCACAGCAGUUAUUAAAUUCAGAAUUUCCUCUUGGUAUUUUAUGUUUGUCCCUUGUGAGGACAGGAGCCCUCGUUCCUUCCAUAGAGCUCCGUGUAUAUGGACCACACCGAAUGCAUAUUUCAAAUCUGUCCAUAUAUUUACCCGCUUCCCUUUGCUCAGUUCUAAAGCUCUGGUGAGAGCUAUUAUCUCUGCCCGUUGUGCUGAAGUCCCUGGGGGCAGAGCUUUUGCUUCUAUUAGGGCGUUUUGUGUGGUUACUGCAUAUCCAGCAUAACGGACCCCACCUUCCACAAAACUGCUUCCAUCAGUAAAAAGUUCCUCAUCAGGUUGCUCAAGUGAGGCAUCCUUCAAAUCAGCCCUCGUCGCAUAUGUAUAUUCAAUCGUCUCCCCACAAUCGUGUUCUAAUAUGCCGUCCUCUGUAUUUGUACCUAGAAAAGCUGCUGGGUUCAACAGGUUAGUUGUCUUUAGAGUCACAUCAUCUUGUUCAGUUAAUACCGCCUGGUAUUUCAUCAUCCGACUUGGGGAUAGCCAGUACCCCCCUUUUUGUUCUAAAACAGUCAUUACCAUGUGUGGCACAUAUACAUCAAUAUGUUUUCCUAAGGUCAAUUUUCUUGCUUCUUGUAUUAAUGUCACUGUUGCUGCUACUGCUCGUAGGCACGAUGGCCAUCCAGCACUUACCAGAUCCAGCUGUUUGGAGAAGUAUCCCACUGGUCGCUUCCAGCUUCCCAGUCUCUGCGUCAGGACUCCCAAUGCCAAUCUCUGUCUCUCGUGCACAAACAGCUGGAAGUCCUUGGUUAAAUCCGGUAAUCCCAGGGCGGGUGCUUUUAUUAACGCUUCUUUUAGCUUUUUAAAAGCUUCCUUUUGGGACCCUUCCCAAACGAAGGUCUGAGAUUUCUGUGCCUCAUAUAAAGGUUUAGCUAUCAGUGCAUAGUCCGAUAUCCAUAACCUGCACCAACCCGCCAUUCCAAGGAAUGUUCUCAGUUCAUGUAAAUUCCGAGGCUCUGGAAUAGCACAAAUACGAUCAAUUCCCAACCUCCGUUGUCCCUGGGAGAUUUCACAGCCCAAAUACAUUACAGUAGUGCAGGCAAUCU